rnacentral:rRNA from 1 species
CCUACGGGAGGCAGCAGUGGGGAAUAUUGGGCAAUGGAGGCAACUCUGACCCAGCAACGCCGCGUGAAGGAAGAAGGCCUUAGGGUUGUAAACUUAUGUUGUAAAGGAAGAAAAGAAUGACGGUACUUUACAAGAAAGCCCCGGCUAACUAUGUGCCAGCAGCCGCGGUAAUACGUAGGGGGCAAGCGUUAUCCGGAUUUACUGGGUGUAAAGGGAGCGUAGACGGCAGCGCAAGUCUGGAGUGAAAUCCCAUGGCUUAACCAUGGAACUGCUUUGGAAACUGUGCAGCUGGAGUGCAGGAGAGGUAAGCGGAAUUCCUAGUGUAGCGGUGAAAUGCGUAGAUAUUAGGAGGAACACCAGUGGCGAAGGCGGCUUACUGGACUGUAACUGACGUUGAGGCUCGAAAGCGUGGGGAGCAAACAGGAUUAGAUACCCUUGUAGUC